AGAUGCGAGGCCCAGCUGUACCUCGCGGGUCCAGGGUCGGGAGUCGGAGACGCAGGUGCAGGAGAGGGCGGGGCAAGUAGCGCAUUUUCUCUUUGCAUUCUCGAGAUCGCUUAGCCGCGCUUUAAAAAGGUGGCUCCCUGGAGGAGGAGCUCCCACGCGGAGGAGGAGCCAGGGCAGCUGGGAGCGGGGACACCAUCCUCCUGGAUAAGAGGCAGAGGCCGGGAGGAACCCCGUCAGCCGGGCGGGCAGGAAGCUCUGGGAGCAGCCUUAUGGAAGAGAAGCAGAUCCUGUGCGUGGGGCUAGUGGUGCUGGACGUCAUCAGCCUGGUGGACAAGUACCCUAAGGAGGACUCGGAGAUAAGAGCUGUUCAUGAGCCCUGGCAAGCUUUUUCCUGUUGCUAAAUUCCAAGAGAAGUUUACCAGAAGUCCUUUUCACAGAGGUGUUUGUCCCAGAGAUGGCAGCGCGGAGGCAACGCGUCCAACUCCUGCACCGUUCUCUCCCUGCUCGGAGCCCCCUGUGCCUUCAUGGGCUCAAUGGCUCCUGGCCAUGUUGCUGAUUUUGUCCUGGAUGACCUCCGCCGCUAUUCUGUGGACCUACGCUACACAGUCUUUCAGACCACAGGCUCCGUCCCCAUCGCCACGGUCAUCAUCAACGAGGCCAGUGGUAGCCGCACCAUCCUAUACUAUGACAGGAGCCUGCCAGAUGUGUCUGCUACGGACUUUGAGAAGGUUGAUCUGACCCAGUUCAAGUGGAUCCACAUUGAGGGCCGGAACGCAUCGGAGCAGGUGAAGAUGCUGCAGCGGAUAGACGCACACAACACCAGGCAGCCUCCAGAGCAGAAGAUCCGGGUGUCCGUGGAGGUGGAGAAGCCACGAGAGGAGCUCUUCCAGCUGUUUGGCUACGGAGACGUGGUGUUUGUCAGCAAAGAUGUGGCCAAGCACUUGGGGUUCCAGUCAGCAGAGGAAGCCUUGAGGGGCUUGUAUGGUCGUGUGAGGAAAGGGGCUGUGCUUGUCUGUGCCUGGGCUGAGGAGGGUGCCGACGCCCUGGGCCCUGAUGGCAAAUUGCUCCACUCGGAUGCUUUCCCGCCACCCCGCGUGGUGGAUACACUGGGAGCUGGAGACACCUUCAAUGCCUCUGUCAUCUUCAGCCUCUCCCAGGGGAGGAGCAUGCAGGAAGCACUGAGAUUCGGGUGCCAGGUGGCCGGCAAGAAGUGUGGCCUGCAGGGCUUUGAUGGCAUCGUGUGAGAGCAGGUGCCGGCUCCCCACACACCAUGGAGACUACCAUUGCGGCUGCAUCGCCUUCUCCCCUCCAUCCAGCCUGGCGUCCAGGUUGCCCUGUUCAGGGGACAGAUGCAAGCUGUGGGGAGGACUCUGCCUGUGUCCUGUGUUCCCCACA
rnacentral:sRNA from 1 species